UCUCAAACUCUGUGUUUUUGAUUAUACCAAAAUGUAGUCAAUAUACACAAGCAAACUUUAGCUCUGAUUUAAAACAGCGAAAAAAGGGGGUUUUAAAAUGCGUGAGUGCAUUUGAAAGUACAACGUUUGAGGCUUCUGUGUUGCAUGUUUGCAGUGUAAGUGGUAAUCUUUUCCUCUAUGGGCUAUAAAGCAGCUUUUAAGUUGGAGGGAAUUGAAUGGUGUGUGUAUUUGUUGUUUCUGCAGAUGAAACGAAAUGCACAGUCACUGCAAUGAGUAGUAUAGCCAAUUAGGAUGUAGGCGCUUAAAAAAUUAGCAGAAGGUUUUUGGCUGUCAGGAGAGUUUCUGGAGGGAUUUUGAGGACAGCUGGGGCCAUCUGGUUUUAAGAAGGGAUUUAAUCCAUUUAGGAGUGGGAUUAUGCAAUAUAUUUUCUUGCAGGUGCUGGGGCAUGGUAGCCUCAGACUCGCUUUGAGUUCCUCCUUGCUCCUGCAAGAUUUGCAUUGCUCUGAAGAUGGCUUCUGCUUUAUUUUUCUUUUUAAGUAAAAGUGUUUCAUACACAAAAGGGAAAAUAAAUCUGGGGAUGCGCUGUCGUCAUGAGGCACCACUGCUGUACUCCCCUCCACAGUGGAGCUGUGUGAGGAUAUAGGGCAGGACCUAGUCCCACUUAUCCAAGCCUUGGUCUCGUGCUUAGUGUGUUAUUUUGCCAAGGGACACUUGUUUGGGAUCACUCAGCAUUGCCACUGGGUUGUAGGGAUGUGCCAAAGCCUACAGUGGGGCAGGGGAAUGGUUCAGUGCAGGUGAGCAGAGCUGGUUUUAAAUUAGCAGGGGCCUUUCUAAUACUGCAAGACUUCCUUCAGCAACAGUGAGUUAAAAUUAGACCUUUAAGAGAAAUUGAUAAAAGUAACUAAAUUAAAAUUUCUUGGGGAGGUGGCUCUAGGGUCUCUCCUGCCUGACACAUGGGAGCCCAAUGUGGUGGGCCCAUCCAUGGGCAACCAAAAGCCAAAUUACCACUUGAUUCAGUCUGGGUAGUUUUCAGGGUUUUUUCCAUCCUUCCUUAAUUGAAGACACAUUUAUUGCUUUAAGCUGAUGCUUUCCAGGUAGAAAGGGUUGGGAAGGGGACUGUGGAAAAGCCACAAGCCAGUCCCUGGUCAUGCAGGCAUCUUCUUCAGCUCUGCUCUUCGGUGGCCAAGCCCAAAAAACCACAGAGGAUCUUCAUAAAGGCAACAGCUCAGCAGGAGCAGAUCAACCCCCAGCCUCCUCCAUCUCUGGAAUGAAGCAGCAGCAGAUGGGAAGCCCACCAUCCGUGGCCUUACAGGUGUUCAGCAGGGAUGGUACUGUCUCCAGGACAGAGCACAUGUACGGGUGGCCCCUUGUCCAGGUCAAAUGGAGGAUGGAGAGACCCCUUUCCCUGCACACCCUGGAGCUCCAGCACCUCUCCUCAUGGGAUGCCUAUCAGGGGGAAGCAGCAGUGUUUGCUCUGGUUUGGGGGGGCUUUGGAGUUAGGGGCGUGCUCGGAGCUCCCUGCGGGUCAGGAGUGAACGUUGCCUUGGAAGCCUGAUUGCCUCAGGCUGAGAACAGGUGAGGAAGUUUUUAUCAUUUCUCUCACCCAUCUGUCAAAGGAGGUGUGUUUUAUGUCUGCAAACCAAAGGCUGAAAUGGGAAAUCAGGAUUUAUUUGGGAAAUAAAGCUCUCCAUAUAUUCGUUCUUUUUUUUUUUCCCUUCCCCUUCCUACAGUCUAUUUAUCUAAUCCACUUAUGUCUAUUCAUCUAUCUGUCUCCUGUUUAUCUGGAAUAUCUUUCAAUAUAAAUCUAUGCCUUUCCCUUCUGCAUUAUCUCUCUUGCCCUUAUGAACCACCAUCAAUCUAAUUAUAAGAUCGCUUCCUUGCUUUCCAUCUUCAAAUAAAUUUUGGGGUUUGGACUAUUUCUGUUUCUUACUCUACUUGUUGCAUGCUACAGCUUUUCCUAACCACAGCCACCACUCCUCUUGAACAGAAUAUUUUAAGAAAAUGUGUCGGUAGCAAGGGAUUUGAUUGAUUAUGCAUGUUAGGCAUUUGGGGAUGUGAUGUGGAGCUGGAGCACAUCCCUGCAAUGGACUGUGAUGAAGGAACACUGGUGACAAGGAAGUGUGUGAAGCCCUGGGGAGAUGUCACUGGGCCUUCAUGGUCCUGGGGAAGGAAUAAGCCCUUCUCUCCAGGCUAUCAUUGGAGUUGCAAACAUCAAGUUGGGUUGCUUUCAAGCCAUGUCCCUUCUCCAUCUUUCACUUCUGCCAGUACAACUCAGAGCCAGCUUGGCAUUCCUGGCAGGUACGGCUUCCCACCACCUCUCAGCAGCGCUGACCGGGUCAAAUGCUCAUUUAUAAAUGAGCAGCUCAGGGCUGUUUGUGCAUUACCAGGCUGCAGGGAUUGGUGGACAGGCAGUUAAAUAAUUUUUUCACACCACAUCCUGUGGUGCCCUUGAUUAAUUUUAUUCUCAGCGUAUCUUGGUUUUGUGCUGAGGUCUUGUCCCCCCCAUCCUGCUGAUGUUUAACAUUCCUGAUGCCAGCAUGUUCAGCCUGGAGCAGGACACUGUCUCCUCUGCUAGUCCAGCUCAGCGCUCCUUCCUUCUGGGGAGGGUGAAUCAACCCGUUCCAAGCACCAGGUGCCUUCUUUGGACACAGACACUCAACACUCUUUCCACCUUUGCAGGUGAUGCUGCUUAAAUUUAGUUCUCCAAGAAGCCUGCUUUGCUCCUCAUGCCAGGGAGAGAGGGCUUGAGUGCAAGAGGCUCAUCUCCAAAAGCCACAGUUGUCCUCUCUCCAUUUCAUGGCCAAGUGCAGAAGGAGUUUGGCUGGACCCUGCUUACUGGAAGUCCUCCCCAAAAGUGCCCAGCAGCCAUGGAAAGCCUCACGUGGAUUGCAGCUGUUGAACACCCAGGUCAGAGCUCCCGUGGGACACCUCACAGGAAAGCAAGGAGGUAUCCUGCAGUCAUCCUCAGCACCAUUAGAUAAAAACAGCCCGUAGCCAAGCACCAGUCACCCAAACCUGCCUGUGUCCCUUUGGCCAAGGCCACUGGGUGAGGUUGCAGGGGAAACCUGGAUGUCUGGAUCCCUUCACAGCUGAUGGACCCACCGGUCUUACAGCCAUGGGCAGAUGCCACCUCCUCUCCGAGAAAGUGGUGAGACCUCCUGGCCAGCCCCAUGCAGUUGCAAAGACAACCCCUCUCUGGAGUGAGCAUGCCACCCCAGAUUCAGGGAGCCUCUUGAAUGACCAUAAGAAGCCCUUCAUCACUUCAAUGGUUACAAGCACUUCGCCAACAUCCAUCAGAAAAGUUUGGACAGUUUUUGUCCAGAGUUCUGCAGCUGGAGGCAAACGAGAAAGCCUGGCCACCCCAAGCACUGAAAAAUGCCUCUCAGACCCUGGGAGGUAGCUACCAAAACCGAUUGGAUGCCUUGGAGUUGUCUACCUAUUUUCACAAUUUUUUUGCCUGCAUUUACUAAAUGCGAGCUGGUUUGUUUCCAGGUGACAAAGGAAGGUUUGGACUCAUGGGGCUGCAGUAUCUAGAUCUGGAGGCACCAAGGAUUGGGUAAAGAUCUCACAAGAGGUGGGAUAACAGGAUCCAAUCCAGCCCCACUGGGAGUCAGUGGAACGAGGGCAGCACCUGACUGCAGUGUGCUCUGCCUGCCUCCCCAUCACCAGUGAUGAAGGGAAACUGAGGCAUCUUGUCCCUGGGGAGAGGGUGGCUGGGUAUCAGAGCAGCACGUGGGCUGCUGCCUCUGAAUGGACAAGACAAAACAGCACAUCUUCUGCCUGCCUCGUUCCUUGUGGCAUGAGCUGCGACACCCAUGCGUGCUCAGUUCUCCAACUGUACUGCGGAAAACAAAACAUUUCUUGUCUGCUUUGCUGGUGGCAUGCUCUUAAGCUUAACAGACAGAUAAGGUAUCCCUGUGCCCCCUGCACAGCCAUCCUGGGGUGAUGUGGCCCCCCUUCCCACCACCACCACAAAGCUGGUCUGGGAUGAGCCUCAUCACCACUGAUGCUUGGGGUCUGCUGCACCGGGGGAUGUGCAGGCAGGAGGGAGCAGCAGCCCCAGUCACACGAUGGUGAGCAGAGAGCUCCUGUGGUGUGGGCCCUUCCCUUCCAACUACUAUGGCACGGCUGCUCUCGAGCAUGAGAAUUGCUCUGGCACUUUCUCACCCCACUGCUCAAAUUGGCCUUUCAUUGCCCCCAAAGGAAGGGAUGAGCGAAAUGCCACGGCUGUGCUCCAGCUGUAAUGAAGCUGCACAGCUGGACCCGGUGCUGGUAUUGGGCUGCGUCCUGGCUGCAGUCCAGUGUGGGUAAUUGUGCCAUGGAGCAAUGUCUCCCUGCUCCUUCCCUGGAGUUUCUGUCAGGAUCGGUGUUCCUUGCUUCCCCUCCUUGUCUGAGUGACUCUGGGAGGAAACACUAGAUCCCCCUACCGCAGUGCCCCCCUGGCUUAAAAAUGAGUUGUUGGGGUUUUUUUCCUAUUUGCCAUGGGAGGUUUUCCUUCUUUUCCCAGCCCAGGCACCUCUCCAAGGAGGAGGUGUGGUGGCCAGGGUGGCACCAGGUUGUCCGUCCCACCUGGCUCAGGGAGGGAGGCUGCAAACUCACAUCAAGGCGUGUGGCUCAGCAUUUGAGCGUGAAUUAUUAAUUCAUAGCCAGCCUCUCUCGGAGCAGCGCCCUGCCUGGUUCUGGGACACCUGCUGCAGAGCCGAUUUACUGCAGCCAUCGGGAGCCUGUAUCUAUAUCGUCACCUUCAACCCCCCAUAUUAAUUUGCAUGUGCCCAUGGAGAGGGUCGUUUCACCCCUCCCUCAAAGUCGUGUCCCGCGGUCAGUCUCAGAGGAGCAGCUCCUUGCUCUGCUGCUCCUGAAGUUGGUUUGGGCAUUGGGACUGCUCUCCUGGCAGGGUGAUCUGCCUGCUCCCUUUGCUUUCUCCACCCGAAGAGUUGCUAUUAAGCCGUUUCCUUCCUAAGAUUUUGAUGUAUAGAAACCUCUCACAUGAGUUUGAUGCAAUGGGAGGUGUCUGGAGACUGUUUUCAUCUCUAGUUGUAUCAAUAAUUAAUAUGUUGAUCCAGAGCAAUAUUAUAAACGGGGCAAAUACUUUUUUUUCUCCUUUUUCUUUCUUUUUUUGGUAAGCAGCAAAAGAAAAACAGCAGCUGUUAGUGUCACUGCUCAGUGGGGACAUUUCAGUCUUCCUGUGGGGCUUGUCCCCUGUCCCUGCUGAUGCUCUCUACAGCCCUCCAGCCAGGUGGGUUGGAGGUGGCCAUGGCUGUCUUCAGCCCUGGGCUCUCAGGUAGGUGACAUGGCUCAGUGGCUCCGUGGAGGGUGAAUGGUUAUUGGAAAUGUUAAAGUUUAGACUUAUUAAAGCUUUUCUUUUAAUGGGAACCUCACAUAUAAUGGCAUGGAGUAUUUCCAUAGCAGCUGAGAGCCCUCCAAUGCCGUUCAGCUCAUUUAUGUUUUGGAGGUUGCUUUAAGGACACUCUAUGGGGACACCAGCAUGGGCACAUGUCUUAUUGCAAGUGGUUUCUCCAGCUUCUUCCCACUGACCUUUUAAAUUUAUGACUCAUUUUUUAAUCUUAAUGCCUCUAAGACACAUGUUUGGAUUUAGAAAUCACGUCAUGGCUCAAUGUGCCCAUCAGGGCUGAGGAGAUCUCGGGAAGAGAGGCUGAAGCAGCCUUGGCAGAGAGUUUCCAGUAGCUGAAUCUCCAAAGGCUAUUUGGGCAGCACAUGAAGGGCACCUUUCCAGAAGUCUUCAGUGCCCAGCUUGCUGACUGCUGACUUACAGCAUCUUGGCCUUGGUGUUCAAAUAGUUUUGAAGGUCAUUUCAUCAGUCACUUGGCGUUUAUUCUGGAGAACACCACAGCUAACACGAUUCACCUGAGGCCAAUUAUACCCAUGGCAUCUGAACUUCUUAAACAUGCAGAUAUGACUUUCUUCCUCUCACUUGUCUGCAGAAGUCACCUCUGUCUUUCAUGACGUUCGUUGAGGUUCCACAGUCCAAAUUAAAAUAUCAUCUGCUGUAACUUCAGCACCUCCUAAUCCCUCAAAUAUCUGCUAAAUUACUCUUUGAAAUACCUUGGGAGCAGAACUAAUUCCAAAUGGCAUUACCUUAAAUUCACAGUGUCCAACUGGUGUAUUAAAAAUCACUAGCUUUGAGCGCCAUUCAUCUAAUUUUACUGGCUUUAAUAGAUGUCCUGCCUUCAUGCUGAGAAUAUUUCUGCUUCUGAGAACAUUGCUAACUUUUCAUUAAGAGUUUCCAGUGGAUAAUGUCUCCAUUUUAAAGGCUUUAUUUAGACCAUAUAAAUCAAUCUGCAUCUAUGAUUUAUUUGGCUUUUUGAUUCCUACCUUUUUCAGUUAAUGCACGAGAUUUAACCUAGUCCAUUGGUUAACACAGUCUGGAGGGAUGAAAGACAGCGGCAGGACAAGUUGUUCGGUCCUGACAUAGAAGGAAAUUCCAGGAUGAGCUGGGGAACCAAACUUGUUCUGAUCCCACUAGUUUUGGGUGGUUUCCUCUCCCAUCAGUCUUCCCCAGGGUGGUAGGACACAUACCUCCCUCCUGCCACCAGGAAAGGAUUUAGUUUCUCUGCAAGCUGAUUAAUAGCCCUGUUGAUGCUGGAAUGCACCUUUUGUCAAAUAUUUCAUCCCUCUGCCAGAAACCUGUGCCCGCAAGGAGGGCACUCUUUAGAAAGUCAUGGGCUGCCCAUGCUGGGGUUCUUUGAGGCGGUCCCCCUCCCUGGGCUGCGCCUGCACCCGUUAUCCCCCUGCCAGAAGAAAUAGGAGAAGCAGUUUUGUCAGACGGUGGACCACUGUUUUUUCACCAUUUCCAUUUCAUCCAAUUUGGACUCAAAAAUGACCACAAACAUAUAAGUAAAGUUUCCUGCUGGUUGGGCUCCAGGGCAUGAGAGCAGUCUGAGGAGCAAUCACUUGUCCUCAGCCCAAACUUGCCCCCAAGGUGCACCUCACUCCAAACUGCCUUCUGGGUGUGGGACAUCCAAGUUUGUCUCUUUGUUAGAUCCCCUCUGUGAGGUAGAUCUGAACUGGUUCUCCUGUGAUGUUGUGGGAAGGGCCCUAGGGAGAUGUUCUGCUUCACCUCCAGCUUCAGUGCAUCUUCUUGGGGUCGGCGUGCAAUGACGUCCCUGCCUGACCUUGGGCCUCAUCCGGUCCUUGGGGAACGGGAUGUGGUCUCCUUGCAGAAACAGGUGGAGACUGAAGCCUGAAUCCAUAUGCUCCUAUGACAAAUCAUAAAGGAUCCACCAUUUAUGUGGUACCCAGCAGGGAUUCGUCUUCUCCAGGCAUUAGCUAGGCACACGUCCAGCCUGUUGGAGCUGAAAUGAGUUAACAGGAGGGGAAGAAGCUCAAAAAAAGAGAAAAAAUGGAGAAAAAUUAAAGGAAAGUCCUUAAGGGUUGCUAACCUGGCGCCUCUGAAAGCUGAACGGAGCUGCCAUUCGUGUGCAGCUCUCUUCCAGCUACGUGGGUGAGGGAGAGAGCAAGAGGAGCUGGGAGUACAGAGCCUGCCAGACAAGGAAACAAGCUGCAGGGGAAGGGAACCAGAGGGAGACGCUCUCAGAUCACGAGCACCUUUGAAGUGUGCGAAGGAGAGGAAAUUGCUCCUCACCCCCCCCUUGGGAUAGCAGGCUGGCACGCCGUGACUUUUAAAUUUUGUUUUAGCGAGGUGGAGGUGAAGGAGGAAGGCAGGGAGAGGGAGGGAGACUGUCGUGUCUCCUACUGUGAAAGAGGGAUCUUGAAUUCUGUGGUGUAGGCUCGCUUUUCCUUUGAAAGUCAUCCCUGGGAGCUGGUCUGAUGAAAGACGAAGGUUUCCUGCUGGGAGAUGGUUCACUGCACCAUCUGCGUGAGACUUACCUUGACAGUGCCGGUGCUACAGGCUCAGGGCAUCUGUCCUGCUGCACACCGGCCAGCAUGUCCCCUGGCUGGGGCUCCAGGGCAGGAGCAGGAUGGCAGAGCACAGGUUGGGUCUACAAGGUGCCCCUUCCCCAGGGCCACCCUUGGCUGAUGGAGCCAGGGAGCAGAGGGGGAGUUUGGUGGCUGAGGGGCAGGGGACACAGCUCCAGCUGGGUUGUGGCAUCUUGCCGCAUUGCCAGUGCUGCUGAUGAUGUUGACAGGUGCUGGGGAUGAAGCAGGACGGUGAUGCCGCCCACGCUGGUUAGCGCCGAGCCAGCUACAAGGCUCCCAUGGGGAGCCACCAUGCCACCAUGGAGACCAGGGGCUUAGCCCAGGCAGAUGUACCCCAACCCUUCCCUCUGCCCGGGCGCCAAUGGGAGGCUGGCAGCUCUGGCUUGACCAUUUGCAUAACAAUUUUGCAGCCAUCCAGGUCAUUUGUCUUUGAUGAGUGUGAUGCCUUGAAGCAUUGGGAAGCAUUUGGGCAUCACUUGAGCUCUGGCUGCUGGUUUCUUCUCUGGUGGGGUGCAGCGGAAGGUCGGGCUGGACAGAUGGUGAGGAUGGAAGAGGCGAUCCUCUCCCACCUUGGCUCUUGUUGCUGUGCUCGUUUGCAGGAACCAUGCACCAGAUGAUGCUUCCUCCAUGUUUCCAGGCUGGUACAAUUGCACUAGGCAUGCUGUUUUUUCUCUUGUUCCUCCAGCAUGUCCUCGCCCUGCCAGAGGACCCUGAUGCCCUUGAGGAUAGCUGUGCAAGCUCAGGCUGGCCCCGAAGGGCUCUGCUCCCUGUCUGGGACACCCUGUGUGCAUCAAUUUCCCCAUGUAAAGUCAGGCAGGAUAUUCACUGGGUUUGAUUUCAAGGAACAAAUCUCCCAUCCUUUGGGUAGGACUCUGGUACUGAGGCCAGCUCAUUUCCAGGCUGGCUUCCAGCAGGGAAGGGUUGGAGGCCACAUGGCAGCUGCUGAGAUGAUGGGGCUGGAGCUGCCAGCAAUUUUCUGCUAUGACCAAAAUGAUCUUUAAUAAAUACAUCAGGGAUUUCUCACUCUUUUUGUUCCCCCCUUCUUUCCAUGCCCUUGGAGCUUGGAUAAAUUACGGUGUGCUCAAGCAGUGGGGACCACUUGGCAGGCAGAGGAGCAUCACCAGCUGGGGGGCAUCUUGGUGAGCUGGUGCCACAUGUCCACUGGCCAGAUGCAUUUGGAUGGAUGUAUUUCUUUUCUCUGUGUUUGUCCCUAGGGAGGGCUUCCCACUGCCAUAACAGACCUGAUGAGGCCAUGACGAUGGACAGAUGGACAAAAGGGAGCUAUAGGCAUGGGCUCAGCACAGCCCAGCAUCUCUCCUGCCCAUGUCUGCACCCAGAAAAUCUCUUGCCUCUUCUCAAAAAUCCCACUUUCCUCCCUGUUUCUGGGAGGGCUCUUGGGAUAUAUAUUCCCCCUCUCACUUUUCUUUCUCCAGGGCAGUGAAGCCCAGCAUGCCUGGCCCAGCUGGGGAGCCCUGGGGUGGGGAAGGAGGCUGUGGCCCUGGGAUGAGCUGAUGAAUCCCUCACCAGUGCCAGGGCUGUGCCAGGCUGGCUGUGCCAGUACUCCCUGGAGGAAUGAAAAUAAUCCCUAAGCCUCUAGGAUAUUCAGGGAAUCUCCCCAAGGGGAACUCUGCAAUGUUGCUGCUACAGGAGUUUUCUUGCAGAACAUGCAGUUUUAUUGAACUGGAAAAAUUCCUAGAAGCAUAUUAAUACUAAAAAAACCCCCAAUCCCAUUAUUGCAAGUGUUGUAAUGGAUCUUUUCAAUCUCAUUUCACUUUGAUAGGCAGAAUGUUUCAUUGAGAUGUUAUCACUUCAAUUUCAUAAGGACUUUUCUACUGGUUUCACUUAUAUGUGAGCUUCAUAUUAUAUGUUGCAUUACACUGUUCAGAUGUUAUCCCAGUGGAAUGUUGUUAUUUAUCAAAAUUAAAUUCCCUUUUGGAAUUUCCUACAGGACCUAAAAUGCAUUCCAGCAGUGCUAAGCUAAGAGACAUCUUCAUUUUGGGAUAUGGCACCCCUUUUCCUGGAGAUUUUUUUUUUUUUUUUUUUGUGAUGGCAUAAGUUGUUCACUCUGAACCCUACAGAAGGCAACUUAGCUUUGAGCAUUGUACUUCAUAAGCUUCUUGUCUCUGAGCCUGUUUUAUCACCCAGGGUCCCUCCCAGUACCAAAGCAGCAGUUCCUUCAGGCUCAGCUUAAUUACUUCAAUAAAUUAGAUAACAAGGAGUGGAGAGAGGGAGGUGUUUAGGCAGCAGGGGGUCAUGCAAGUAGAGGAGGUGUUUACCCCCUGUUGGGACAGGUUGCUGGGAGCUCCCUUGGUCAAUGGAGGUUUCACCAUGAGCUGCUGCUUCAUCCUGGGGUGAUGUUGUGAGUUGCCUCUGAAUAAUCCCUGAGGGAUGGAGCUGCCCCACCUCCCUGUGUCACCCUGUGCCUCUGAUGUCCCUGAGGGACACGCCAAGGUGGAAACCCUCCCUGUCCCCUGUACCUGGUGGCCUGGGCGAUGUUAUUUGUGCUCCUUUGAUGCUAUUUAUCCCCCUGUCUUCUUUGUGUUGCUAUUUCCCCUCUCCUGCUCCCCUCUGCCAUGCCAGCCCAAGAGGCUCUGGUUUAGCUCUGUGCCCAGGGAAGAAGCGGGAUAGGCAGGAGUGGGAACAGCUCUGCAAGUCCCCAGCUCUGGGCAAUUCCCUGGGCAGAGGCGCAGGCAGCUGCCGGUGGUAAGAGAUGCCCCUGUGACCCCUCAGGGCAUUGCUGCAGCCCCCAGAGCUCUUCCUCUGCACGGGGCUGCCCACCCUGUGAAUUUGCAGGGCGAUUGCUUUUGAAGUAUUAAAUUCAAGCAUAAAUAAGUUAGUUCCUCUUGUUUUGGGGAUUACUUAUAGUCCCUAUCCCCAAAAUGGGAUGUCCCCUUGGUGAGACGGUCCCCCCCUCGCCGCCUGGCACAUGGCUCCAUCCCUUCCCAGACAGACUUUGGCAAGACUCUGCUCUGUUUUUUGCAUCUCUCUGCAGAGCUAUCAGAUGGAAAACAGCCUCUGAAGGAAGGCAAACAGCCUGUGACCCACCACUGUGGGCUGGGGUCUGCUGCCCUGCUCCCUACCCAGUGUUUUUGGGGUCCUUGGGCACCCUCGAGCUUUGCAGCUGGCUGGUGAGCUGCACCCUUGGGAUGGAAACACCCAGGAGCAGAGUGGCUUGUGCUCAUCAAUGUCCAUUAUUUUGACAUUUCCUUUUCGAAAAAAAGGGAAUUUUUUUUUUUUCACUUGUUCUUGAACGCUUUGAAGGGAGACAUCAACUUCUUGCAGCAAACCCAUUUUGACAUCCAAAAAAAAUCAUGGAAUUUGGAAGAACUGGAAGAAGUUUGAUCUCUGGACUGUCAGAAACAACAGGGGGAAAAAACAAUUGGUCCGAGCAUAAAGCAGUUUCUCUCCCUGCAUCACCACCCUAAUUUGCAUCCCUGGCUGAAAGCAAAUCCUUCCUACAAAAAAAUGCUACUUAUUUUUUUCCAAAUACGCACACACAGCAAUUUUUAGCCUAAUAUUAAUUGGGCAGAGGAUGCCGCAGAGGUCAAGCAGUACAUCUAAGUGGACUAAAGACAGGUAGAUUGGCUUUCAGGGCUGCAGCAAAAUGAAUCCAUCUCUUCCCUCAGUCUCCCAAAGACUAGUUUCUAUUAGAGCAGAUUAAGGGACAAAGGGGAGGGGAGGGGGAAUAAAGACAAGAGCAGGUCAGCAAGAAAGGGAAGGAAGAAGCGGUGUGCAGUGAAGAGACCAGAUUGCCUGCCUGGAGGUUGGGUUGUGGUUUCUUUUCCCUUUCUCUAUCAAGGGUGCAAGAUAAACAGAGACAGAAGGUUGGAAAGUGUCCCAGAAAGGUCUCUGCAGAAGCAGACCAAACAUAUUUAAAGUGGAUAAACAGCAGGCGAAGAAAUGAACCAAAAUUUUGAGUCAAGGUGGUACAAAAUUAAACCCCUUAAAGCUGCUAUAAAUGCAUUGGGUACAUGAUCUCCACCCUAGCUGUCCCCAGCCUGCCUGCAGAGACUGCAGGGCUCCAGGAGAUCCUCUGAGUAUGGGUUUGUUCCUAUCCAUCCUCCAAAUGCUCCCCCUGGGUAGCUGGGCUGGCAGGUCUUCCCCAUCAGCAUGUAAAGAUGCUUGAUUGGUGUUCAUGAGGAUCAUCUGUUUGAAGGGCAUCACCCUAAGAGGGCAUCCUAUGGCAGUACCCAUCUGACUGGGAGAUGCUGAAACCUCCCCUGGAUUUGUUGCUGGUGCCAUCAGCAUCUCCAUCUCCUGUCUGUUUGCUGCUUCAGGAGGGAUUCCCGUGUUUACAGGCUUGCUACGCUGCACAAAAAAAUCAGGUAUGAGAUGGGAGCAGCACACAUGUGACAGCCGUUUCCAAGCAUGAAGCCUGAUGCUGUGGUCAUCCCAGUGUGGUGUCAUCAGGGCACGGAGCAGCUGUGCUGCUGUGGAAAGGGAAGAUCCAUGGGUGAGCUGGUGCACAUUGUCCCCACCAGCUGGGCAGCUUGAGGACUUCACUAAUGCUUCAGUAUACAACUAUAUCUAUGGAUUUAUUGCAUGGAUGCCAUAGUGGGCUGUCAGCAGCUUGAGACUGGUGGUUAACACCUGCUUGGUGGCUCAGCUGGGUCAGGAGGAGCAGUGGGGGUGUCACUUUCCGACCACGGUGAAUACUUGUGCACAGGAGUAUCUCCUUGUGGGUCCCAGCAUGGCCAAGACCUGGGUUUUGCAGUGAUGCUGUGCAGAGGUGGGGGUGCUGGUACCUGCUAUAGCGUCUGGGGGUUACCCCUGCAGUGAUGGGGGGAGCAUCCUUCUCGUGGAGGGACCUGGAGAUCGGGUUGUGCCAGGGGCUGGAGGCACCUUGUUUACCAUAAAGCCAUCACUUCAUCUGGAAAUAAAUUUUGCUGGAUAGUUUGGCCUUGUUUUGCUUGGAAUUGCUCAUAUGGGAAUUGUUCGGGGGUUUUUUCCUGG